UAUAAGCUGGGUAGGAAGCUAUUGAGCAAUGUGAAAUAAUUAGGAGAUGAUACCCAGUGUGUAUAAUUAAGCACCCGGGUACCAGGUGCAGUAUGGAUCAAAGGUUUGCAGGGACCAUUAAUCAAGUGAAGCUACAAGUGUUGGGAACCUUUCCUUGAAAGAUGGACAAGAAUUAAAGAGUAUGGAGAUGAGGCAUCUAAGCUGAGUGAAUUCCCUUUCCUCUGCACUCCCAGAGCUUUGAGUUGAGCCAGGGUGCCGCUCUGGCCUGUUGAUUGGCAGCUCAGCUAAUCAUCCCUGGUUUUCCAGGCCUAUCGCUGGAUGAUUGACUCCAGAGAUGACUUCACAGAGGAGCGCCUGGCCAAGCUGCAGGACCCAUUCUCUCUAUACCGCUGCCACACCAUCAUGAACUGCACAAGGACCUGUCCUAAGGGUCUGAAUCCAGGGAAAGCUAUUGCAGAGAUCAAGAAAAUGAUGGCAACCUAUAAGGAGAAGAAAGCUUCAGUUUAACUGUUUCCAUGCUAAACAUGAUUUAUAACCAGCUCAGAGCUGAACAUAAUUUAUAUCUAAUUUGAGUUCCUUUAAAGAUCUUGGUUUUCCAUGAAUACAGCAUGUAUAAUAAAAAUUUUAAGAAAUAAA
rnacentral:lncRNA from 1 species